rnacentral:rRNA from 1 species
UGCAGCAACGCCGCGUGAGGGACGACGGCCUUUCGGGUUGUAAACCUCUUUUAGCAGGGAAGAAGCGAAAGUGACGGUACCUGCAGAAAAAGCACCGGCUAACUACGUGCCAGCAGCCGCGGUAAUACGUAGGGUGCAAGCGUUAUCCGGAAUUAUUGGGCGUAAAGAGCUCGUAGGCGGUUUGUCGCGUCUGCUGUGAAAACCCGAGGCUCAACCUCGGGCCUGCAGUGGGUACGGGCAAACUAGAGUGCGGUAGGGGAGAUUGGAAUUCCUGGUGUAGCGGUGGAAUGCGCAGAUAUCAGGAGGAACACCGAUGGCGAAGGCAGAUCUCUGGGCCGUAACUGACGCUGAGGAGCGAAAGCAUGGGGAGCGAACAGGAUUAGAUACCCUGGUAGUCCAUGCCGUAAACGUUGGGAACUAGAUGUGGGGGCCAUUCCACGGCUUCCGUGUCGCAGCUAACGCAUUAAGUUCCCCGCCUGGGGAGUACGGCCGCAAGGCUAAAACUCAAAGGAAUUGACGGGGGCCCGCACAAGCGGCGGAGCAUGCGGAUUAAUUCGAUGCAACGCGAAGAACCUUACCAAGGCUUGACAUAUACCUGAAAAGGCUGGAAACAGUCUCCCCGCAAGGCA